GGAAGUAAAAAGUCGUAACAAGGUUUCCGUAGGUGAACCUGCGGAAGGAUCAUUUCAGUAUUCUUUUGCCAGCGCUUUAUUGCGCGGCGAAAAACCUUUCACACUAUGUUUUUUUAUUUGAAACUUUUGCUUUGGUCUGGCUUUGAAAUAGGUUGGGCCAAAGGUUUUUAUUCAAACUUCAAUAUUUUUAUUGAAUUGUUUUUUUUAUUUUAUUGUCAAUUUGUUGAUUUAAUUCAAAAAUCUUCAAAACUUUCAACAACGGAUCUCUUGGUUCUCGCAUCGAUGAAGAACGCAGCGAAAUGCGAUAAGUAAUAUGAAUUGCAGAUUUUCGUGAAUCAUCGAAUCUUUGAACGCACAUUGCGCCCUUUGGUAUUCCAAAGGGCAUGCCUGUUUGAGCGUCAUUUCUCUCUCAAAUCUUCGGAUUUGGUUUUGAGUGAUACUCUUUGUCAGACUAAGCGUUUGCUUGAAAUGUAUUGGCAUGAGUGGUACUAGAUAGUGCUGAACUGUUUUCAAUGUAUUUGGUUUUUCCAACUCGUUGAUAUCGGUAAAGUAUUUGUUUUUUUCACAGGCUCGGCCUUUCAACAACAAACAAAGUUUGACCUCAAAUCAGGUAGGA
rnacentral:rRNA from 1 species